rnacentral:rRNA from 1 species
UACGAAGGGGGCUAGCGUUGCUCGGAAUCACUGGGCGUAAAGCGCACGUAGGCGGCUUUUUAAGUCAGGGGUGAAAUCCUGGAGCUCAACUCCAGAACUGCCUUUGAUACUGAGAAGCUGGAGUCCGGGAGAGGUGAGUGGAACUGCGAGUGUAGAGGUGAAAUUCGUAGAUAUUCGCAAGAACACCAGUGGCGAAGGCGGCUCACUGGCCCGGUACUGACGCUGAGGAGCGAAAGCGUGGGGAGCGAACAGG